rnacentral:misc_RNA from 1 species
CUCGCUCUCUCUCUCUCUCUCUCUCUCUCAAGCUGAAUUGCAACGGAUUUUUCAAGUCUCUCUCAGAAAUUGAACUCAAGAAAAAGCAUCUCCUAUGUCUACUUUGGGGAAUUCUACAAAUAUAUUUUGGCACGAAUGCCCAGUUGGGGAGUCUGAGAGGCAGAAACUACUUAACCAGAAGGGAUGUGUUGUAUGGAUAACGGGCCUUAGUGGAUCAGGUAAAAGCACACUGGCAUGCUCACUAAGCAGGGAACUACACUCUAGGGGGAAGCUGUCCUAUGUUCUUGAUGGAGAUAACCUUCGUCAUGGGCUGAACAAAGGUCUGGGUUUCAGUGCUGAAGAUCGAACUGAAAAUAUCCGCAGGGUUGGUGAAGUAGCAAAACUCUUUGCAGAUGCCGGUUUGAUAUGCAUUGCUAGUCUGAUAUCACCAUACAGAAAAGAUCGGGAUGCUUGCCGUGCAAUGUUGACUGAUGCAAAUUUUAUUGAGGUUUUCAUGAACAUGCCUCUGUCAUUGUGUGAGUUGAGAGAUCCUAAAGGCCUUUACAAGCUUGCACGUGCCGGAAAGAUUAAAGGUUUUACUGGCAUAGAUGAUCCUUAUGAACCACCUUUGAAUUGCGAGAUAGAAAUACAAGAGAAAGAUGGAGUUUGCCCCUCACCAUCUACCAUGGCUGGACAAGUAGUAUCCUACUUGGAAGACAAAGGAUUUCUACAUCAGUGAUCAACUCCACUAACUUUGCAUCAUCAUUGUCAUAAACUCGUCGAACAAAUAAUUUUUCAAGUGUUCAUGUCCUAUCCAUUUUAAAACUGCCUGGCUAAGGGUGCCAGCAAGUUCUAACGACAUCACGUGGGAUGUGUUUGGAACGGAUGAUAUAUAUUUCAAAUAGUACAUUUUGGUUGUUUUUCUAGACUGAUAGGGCACCAUUGAUACCGUUGAAUCAUGGAGACUUCUCUUAUCUGGGUUCAUUCCGAACAACCCAUUAUUCUGAUCAAAAUUUUCAUCUUAGAUAUUUACUCGUCCAAAUGGAUAUCAAUUGUAUUCAUCACAUUGAUUAUGAAUAUAAGUUAUACUUAAAUAUCGAAUAUAAUUGAUGUCCUUUUUUUUUUUUUUUUUUUUUUUUU